CAGAUGGUAGCACCACAACUGGAAGGAGACAGCACUAAUGCAAUGCACAGACUUUUAUUUCAGGACCUUUACAACCUCAAGAAACAGCCCCUUAAGGGCAACAGAGCCAAAGAAGCCUCAUCCUUUAUAAAAUGGAGACGCUCCUGGAAGACAGCUUCUUUUUUGGGUCUGUCCUUGCUGAAGAGAGAGGCUGUGAGAAUACCAUAUGAUUGAUUUAAAAGGCAACUAGCCUAUAAUUAUAUUGCCACUGAGUGUGUGUUUCACUUGAAGCUUUUCCUUUUGUUAGAAUUAAAUGAGGUUUUGCCCAUUUGGCACCCCAA